AUUAUGGCAAACUUGGUAUCACAAAAGGUCAUUAGCUAGCCCAAUAACGUUUUCAUCCACUAUUUGUACUAUAAUACCCUCUCAUGUGAAUACAAUGCCCUUAAUAUCAUAAAACACUAUUUAUGGUUUAAAAGGUGAUAGAGGAUCUGAAGAUGCCGACCAUGUCCCUAGCGGCGAUACAUCUGGUAGUCAUAGUGCCCGAGGAAAAGACUAGUUCUAUGAAGCCUGCGACUACAUAUGAUAAGGGGAAGGGGCCUACUGAAAUUGAGGAUACCAAGAAGACCAUCGAGAAUGACACACUACUAGGUGAAGGGCCUUUUGAUCAAGAGUUUGGGGGCCGACGAUACAUGGUUCACCACUCAGCCGGAAAUGUUAUGGGUGCUAAACAGUUAGCCAAAGCUGUCAACUUCGCUGAAUAACUUGGGUACUCUUCGGGGUCUACAACCUUUGGGGGAGGGCGUGAGGACUAUUUGUAUUGAUGCCUAGACUGCUUGGAGACUGAAGUAUGCCGCUACAUGGCAGAUAACAUAGGUUUUCCAAAGCUAGAGGCCAUAUUAUAAACGAUGCUCUCUGAAGAUUUUUUGGAUUGCCUCGCAUACACGCAUUUGAAGGUGUCGCCUAUGUUAACUUUUUGUUGCCUCGGGUUGUUGAAAUACUACAAAACUUGGUUAAAAUUUGUUUUUUUAACUUUGCAGGGCCUGAUUUUAAGUAAGGCGCUAAAGAACAUGAAAAAAAUUGAGGGCGAAGCUACCUAGAAGGAAAUUGUAAAGCUUAGGUCCGAAGCAUCAGAGGUUCGUUUCAACUGUGCAGAGAAAGAAAAGGCAUCUAAAAUUUUGGAAUAGGAUUUCAUUUAGAGUCGAAGCGAGGUUCAGACUUUGACCAAAGAAAAUAACAAAGCUCUAGGUGUUGCAAUGAGUUGGAGAGGACCUUCUCCCCUGUUGGGGCAAAAUCCUGAGCUAGAAAUUUUGUAUAUGGUGAUACAUUUGGGAUCAUGCAGUGGAUCCUUAAUGAGAUCUGUGCAUACAAGAGUAUCCUCUCAACACGGAAGGACUACUACGCGUGGACAAGCACCAAAGCACUGCUUCAGUUUUCUGAACGUUGGAUGUAGCCAAGUGAAGAUGUGCAUAUAUCCAAACUUUGAAGUUUAUGCAGAUAGCGUCAGGAGAUCAAUUGUUGAAGCUUCGGAAUGGGCAAAAAAAUCCUGUUUGAUAUAUGGUCAAUGGGUGGAAAAGAAAUCUCUAUCGAAGAGUCAAUGAAAAAUAAGGAGAAGGCUCGAAGGGUAGCUGAGAAGGCUACAGCUAUCUGAAAAAACUUGUAGCCAAAGGAAGCCGAAGUUUCUACUUCUCAAGCAAUAAUUGAAUUUAAAUAAUCAGAAGUCGAAGCAACUGCUACCCAAGCCGAAGCAGUUGUUACCGAUGCCAAAGUGGAGGCUGCUGAACUAGCUAAAAAGGCUGCAGAUGACAUUAUUUGGAAGAUCUGUGAGAAAAUUUAUGACGAAGUGAUACAGGGAUAGUGUUUAUUUGAAAAAACUUCUUUUAUUGUAAUAUUAGUGAUGCAAAGGGUAUAAACACUCAAAGCUCUUUAGUGUCUGUUCUAUAAUAUAAAACUUCCUCGCUUUAGUUUAUUAA